UAGGCGGAUCCUAAGUCGAGGCUGAAAGGCGUGGACGAUGGACAACAGGUUAAUAUUCCUGUCCUCCGUUGUGCGAUCAAUUCAUGGUGCGUUCUCACAGAGUGCAGCCCACGACAAGAAGUGAGGGUUGCCGAGAGGCCGAGGCCGAUUUGUUGCCGAAGUGCACAAAGUGAGAGCCAAGAAAAGCCAUGAUGGCAAGCAGCGGAUCCGUACCAAAACUGACACAGGUGGGUGAGGCGCGUAGCCUUAGGCGCUCGAGAGAACCGUCCUUAAGGAACUAGGCAAUUUGACCCCGUAACUUCGGGAUAAGGGGUCCCUACCCCUUCGGGGGAGGGCGCAGAGAAUCGGCACUGGCGACUGUUUAUCAAAAACACAAGUCUCUGCUAACACGUACAGUGGACGUAUAGAGACUGACGCGUGCUCGAUGCGGGAAUGUUAAGGAAGUCGGUCAGGGGCAACCCGAAGCUGGCAACCGAAGCACCCGUAAACGGCGGCCCUAACUAUGAGGGUCCUAAGGUAGCGAAAUUCCUUGUCGGGUAAGUUCCGACGCGCAUGAAUCGCGUAACGACUGGUGCACUGUCUCAAGGACGGACUCGGUGAAAUUGGAUUCGUGGUGAGAUACCACGUACCCGCGGCAAGACGGAAAGACCCCGUGAACCUUCACUGUAUCCUGAUAUUGGUCACAGUCAUCACAUGCGUAGGAUAGGUGGGAGGCGAUGAUCCGGUAGUUCAGGCUAUCGGGGAGCCAACGUUGAAAUACCACCCUUGUGCUGUUUGUCAUCUAACUCUGACCCGUGAAGCCGGGCAGAGGACAGUGUUAGGUGGGCAGUUUGACUGGGGCGGUCUCCUCCCAAAGAGUAACGGAGGAGUGCAAUGGUCGGCUCAGCGCGGUUGGCAAUCGCGCGACGAGUGCAAAGGCAGAAGCCGGCUUAACUGCGAGAUAUACAGAUCGAGCAGAUACGAAAGUAGGCCUUAGUGAUCCGGUAAUCCCGUGUGGAAGGGUUAUCGCUCAUCGGACAAAAGGUACUCCGGGGAUAACAGGCUGAUCUCCCCCGAGCGUUCAUAGCGGCGGGGAGGUUUGGCACCUCGAUGUCGGCCCAUCACAUCCUGGGGCUGUAGGCGGUCCCAAGGGUCCGGCUGUUCGCCGGUUAAAGUGGUACGCGAGCUGGGUUCAGACCGGCGUGAGCCAGGUCGGUCCCUAUCUGCCGUGGGCGUACGAGACUUGAUAGGAUAUCUCCUUAGUACGAGAGGAUUAGGAGGUACGUGCCAAUGGUGUGCCAGCUGUCCCGCUCGGGGCAUCGCUGGGUAGCCAAGCACGGAAAGGAUAACCGCUGAAUGCAUCUAAGCGGGAAGCCCCCCUAGAGAUUAUGUCUCGCUAGACUUCGGUCUUGAAGGCCCCUGGAAGACCACCA
rnacentral:rRNA from 1 species